GUCGAGGAUCUUCGGCAAUGGGCGCAAGCCUGACCGAGCGACGCCGCGUGCGCGAUGAAGGCCUUCGGGUUGUAAAGCGCUGUCGAGGGGGAGGAAAGCCGCAAGGUCUGACCUAUCCCUGGAGGAAGCACGGGCUAAGUUCGUGCCAGCAGCCGCGGUAAGACGAACCGUGCAAACGUUGUUCGGAAUCACUGGGCUUAAAGGGCGCGUAGGCGGCGAGUCAAGUCCGGGGUGAAAUCUUUCGGCUCAACCGGAAAAGGGCCUUGGAUACUGACUUGCUUGAGGGAGGUAGGGGCAGGUGGAACUUCCGGUGGAGCGGUGAAAUGCGUUGAUAUCGGAAGGAACGCCGGUGGCGAAAGCGGCCUGCUGGACCUCUACUGACGCUGAGGCGCGAAAGCCAGGGGAGCAAACGGGAUUAGAAACCCGGGUAGUCC
rnacentral:rRNA from 1 species